rnacentral:rRNA from 1 species
CCCGCUGAACUUAAGCAUAUCAAUAAGCGGAGGAAAAGAAACUAACAAGGAUUCCCCUAGUAACUGCGAGUGAAGCGGGAAAAGCUCAAAUUUAAAAUCUGGCAGUCUUUGUUGCUGCUCGAGUUGUAAUCUAGAGAAGUGCCUUCCGCGCUGGACCGUGUACAAGUCUCUUGGAAUGGAGCGUCGUAGAGGGUGACAAUCCCGUCUUUGACACGGACUGCCAGGGCUUAUGUGAUGCGCUCUCGAAGAGUCGAGUUGUUUGGGAAUGCAGCUCAAAAUGGGUGGUAAAUUCCAUCUAAAGCUAAAUAUUGGCGAGAGACCGAUAGCGAACGAGUACCGUGAGGGAAAGAUGAAAAGAACUUUGAAAAGAGAGUUAAACAGUACGUGAAAUUGUUGAAAGGGAAACGAUUCAAGUCAGUCGCGUUGACCGGUAAUCAACCCUUGCGAUUUAUUGCAAAGGCUUACUUUCUGGUUAACGGCUCAUCAUCAAUUUCUACCGUCAGAAAAAGGCUUGAUGAAUGUGGCAUCUUUGGAUGUGUUAUAGAUUCGAGUCGCAUGUGAUGGUUGGGAUUGAGGAACUCGGCACGCCGAAACGCCUGGGGCUAUGCCUUGCCCACGUAAACGUGCCUCGGAUGCUGGCGUAAUGGCUUGAACCGACCCGUCUUGAAACACGG